UUCACGCUCCUCUGCAGUCUGCCGCCUGCACCGGAGGACAAGCCGUUAUCGACGCUUUGGGGGCGCUCCUUGGAAACAGCCUGCUGAGCUUUCGACCUCCUGCGCUGAGCCCCGUGCCCUGCUGGGACUCAACGGACCAGCCGGUUUCCUCUGCGGCGGUCCAGGGAGGCAAUGACUCACUUAUUCCAUUUAAUGCCUCCCCUCCACCCCGUCAACUGAGAUCAAACGUCUGUCUCUAAGGUGGACAGACCUAAUGGGAGUCCCCGGGGCCUCCAGAAGCAAUUUGUAGGCGAUCGAUGAAGCCGAGCGAAGCCAGCAAGGGCCUCUCCCAGCGGCGGCCACCGGCCUCCUUCCCGCCGCCCCUUCUAGCCUUUCCUAUCUGUGUGUCUGUCUCUCCUCUUCUUCUUGCCCACAUUUCAAACUAUUUCUCUCCUUUUAGGCUUUGUGCUUUUAUCUCCUGUUUUCUCUCACCCUACUCCUCCCUUCUCUCAGAAUUUAAGGGAAUUGGUUUGAAAUUAAAUAGAAAGUUUUAAACCUC